rnacentral:misc_RNA from 1 species
CGCGGAAGAGAGGCUGAGGGCGGCUGCCGAGGAGGAGUGGAUGAGGAUGGACGAAAUAAGGAGGGAAGCCAGGAAAGGUGCAAAGGAGGUGGUGAGUGUUGGGGCUGUGGCAACAGAGGUGUUGUUUGAGGAGGAGGAAGAUGUGGUGGACGAGGAGAGGAAGAGGGAGCGGGAGAAGGAAGAAAGGGAGAGGAAAGAAAAGGAGAGGGAGUUUGUGGUGCAUGUGCCAUUGCCAGAUGAGAAGGAAAUUGAGAGGAUGGUGUUGGAGAAGAAGAAGUUGGAGUUGUUGAGUAAGUAUGCCAGUAAUACGUUGCUGGAGGAGCAGAGUGAGGCCAAGGCCAUGCUUAACAUUCAGCGCUAGAUAAUGAUAUGGAGAAGCUAUGAUAUGGAUAAGAAAAUGCAUGUUGAUGGUGCCACCAAAUUUGGGGCUUGUGAUGUAACCCCAUUUAAUCUGCUAGAUUCCCUAGCUGUCUUUAUGUUCCAAGAAAGUAGAUUUUUUAGAGUACAGACUCAGCCUUCCCGGUGGUUCUUAAGUAGGUUGGAUGCGCAGGAAAGAGAUUGUUCAAAGUUGAAAUUGAAGAUGGUGUGAGGAGUGGAAAUUGAAGAAUCAUAUCACACUGAUUGAUAAAUCCUAUUAUCUGAAAUCAAGUUAUUGAUCUUAUUGUUAUUGAAGCUCUUUGAAAUUAAUUGAUCUUCUUUGUGCACUCUUCUUCUUCUUUUUCUUUUCUUCUUUCUUUGUAUGGGGGAUUGUAUAAUGGAUUGGGAAUUCUCAUUUUUGUCUCAGCAAGCUUUUUGCAGUGCUUAAAAUCAAUAAAUUUAGGAUUACUUAGAGUUUUUAAAAACAAUAAGAUCAAUAACUUGAUUU